UCAAUAAAGCACUCUGUGGAUUUCUGAGUGCUAUUGACAGGACGUCCUUAAACCCUUCCCCCAACUACUGGCCCUUGUUUAAAUUAAAGGAAGGUUCUUCAGAGUUGGACAAGCAGCUUCGUCUUUCCUUGUGGCAAUGGCAGUGUUAAAUCUCCAUUCCAACCCUCCUCCCUCCCUCGCUCUCCAUCUCCCCUCCCACACUCGCCUCCUCCUUCUGCCUCUGCUUUUAUUUUCUUCCCUUUAAUCUCAUGCCUUUUCUGUCUGAAGAGGACAUGUGCUUCUGAAACCUGUCAUGGUCUACGAUCUUGUCCUUGAUGUGAUUGCAGGCCCCAGAAUGUUUGUCUGACGUGAAUGGAGGAUUUCUGCUAAAGUUUGAGAUGAAUGAAUAAAUAAACAAAUUAAUCAU